GCCUACGCACUCAGGGGGCGGGCUCUCCUGACAAGCCGGAAGACGGGGUGGGGACGGUGGCCCCGAGGGGACACGCGCGACCGGGUUGGGCGUUGCGUUCGUCCUUUAGCCGAGUUUUGGCUGCGUUCGUGGUAGCCAUUUACUACUCCGAUUGUAGGCAUAAAACAGGGUGGCUGGGACUUGUGGGACUGCCCGCCGUCCAGGGACGGGGGAGCCUGGGGAAGGGAAUGACGAGCGCAAAAAGGGGUGAACACAGGCCCCACCGGAAAUGGAAGCGCCCUUAAUCCCUGAAACGGAACGGCCGGUCCGGCAGAGGGGACGGGGGUUGCCCACGCUUGGAGACGAGUCCCGCUUAGCGGAGCAGAGAGGGGUGACGGCAAAAUACAGGACCCGGAUAAAAUCACCCCGUCCGGGUGCAGGACGGGUCUCCCGCAGCGACAGCAGGUGGCGGAGCAGCAUUCCAAGGCGCUUCCUCCCCAGGUUUUGCUAUUCUGCGCGUUCCCUUUGAUCCCUGCGUCUCCGCACAGCCGUGGGUGAGCCUGAGGAGGGCC